CCUACGGGGGGCUGCAGUGAGGAAUAUUGGUCAAUGGCCGGAAGGCUGAACCAGCCAAGCCGCGUGAAGGACGAAGGUGCCAAGCAUUGUAAACUUCUUUUGUCAAGGGACAAAAUCAGGCUCGAGAGCCUGACCGAGGGUACUUGAAGAAAAAGCAUCGGCUAACUCCGUGACAGCAGCCGCGGUAAUACGGAGGAUGCGAGCGUUAUCCGGAUUUAUUGGGUUAAAGGGAUGCCUAGGCGGACUGUUACUUCAGCGGUAAAAGCCCGGGGAUAACCCCAGGCGAGCCGUUGAAACUGGCUGUCUUGAGAUGUCGAGAGGUAUGCGGAAUGCGCAGUGUAGCGGUGAAAUGCUUAGAUAUUGCGCAGAACUCCGAUUGCGAAGGCAGCAUACCGGCGGCGAUCUGACGCUGAGGCACGAAAGCGUGGGUAUCGAACAGGAUUAGAUACCCGGGUAGUC
rnacentral:rRNA from 1 species